GGCGGACGGGUGAGUAACGCGUGAGGAACCUGCCUUUCAGAGGGGGACAACAGUUGGAAACGACUGCUAAUACCGCAUGACACAUAGAUGUCGCAUGGCAUUUAUGUCAAAGAUUUAUCGCUGAAAGAUGGCCUCGCGUCUGAUUAGCUAGUUGGUGAGGUAACGGCCCACCAAGGCGACGAUCAGUAGCCGGACUGAGAGGUUGAACGGCCACAUUGGGACUGAGAUACGGCCCAGACUCCUACGGGAGGCAGCAGUGGGGAAUAUUGGGCAAUGGGCGCAAGCCUGACCCAGCAACGCCGCGUGAAGGAAGAAGGCUUUCGGGUUGUAAACUUCUUUUGUCAGGGACGAGUAGAAGACGGUACCUGACGAAUAAGCCACGGCUAACUACGUGCCAGCAGCCGCGGUAAUACGUAGGUGGCAAGCGUUGUCCGGAUUUACUGGGUGUAAAGGGCGUGUAGCCGGGAGGGCAAGUCAGAUGUGAAAUCCACGGGCUCAACUCGUGAACUGCAUUUGAAACUACUCUUCUUGAGUAUCGGAGAGGCAAUCGGAAUUCCUAGUGUAGCGGUGAAAUGCGUAGAUAUUAGGAGGA
rnacentral:rRNA from 1 species